AGUGAACGCUGGCGGUAGGCCUAACACAUGCAAGUCGAACGGCAGCACAGUAAGAGCUUGCUCUUACGGGUGGCGAGUGGCGGACGGGUGAGGAAUACAUCGGAAUCUACUUUUUCGUGGGGGAUAACGUAGGGAAACUUACGCUAAUACCGCAUACAACCUACGGGUGAAAGCAGGGGAUCUUCGGACCUUGCGCGAUUGAAUGAGCCGAUGUCGGAUUAGCUAGUUGGGGGGGUAAAGGCCCACCAAGUCGGCGAUCCGUAGCUGGUCUGAGAGGAUGAUAGGCCACACUGGAACUGAGACAGGGUCCAGACGCCUACGGGAGGCAGCAGUGGGGAAUAGUGGACAAUGGGCGCAAGCCUGACCCAGCCAUACCGAGUGGGUGAAGAAGGCGUUCGGGUUGUAAAGCCGGUUUGUUGGGAAAGAACAGCAGCAGGUUAAUACCCCGCGGUUCUGACGGUACCCAAAGAAUAAGCACCGGCUAACUUCGUG
rnacentral:rRNA from 1 species